rnacentral:lncRNA from 1 species
CUCCAUAACAAUUAUUGACUUAACAACGUCGACGAACACCGACCGUCUCUGAAACAAGUGGCAGAGAAUUUAAUGAUUGGUACUCGAAGUUUUAAGUUCGAAUCUUAGUUGAUUCAUAUUUCCAGCUAAAUUUAUUUCUAAAUGAAAUAAACGAAACGGGUAGCAUGUUACCUAUCUCAAAAAAAAAGAAGAAAAAAAAAGAAAACACAACAACGUGGACGAACCAAC